rnacentral:lncRNA from 1 species
UGAAGAGACAGCAAAACACAGCCCAGAUACAUUGGAUGGUAUUUGAUGAUCUGCUUAAAUUAAUGAACAUGACUUAAGUUCAGUCCAUUGAUUUCAACAGACCUACUGUAAGUAUAACUAUGCCUCCCAUUCUGUCACAUUCUGUCCACUAGCGUGGAUGGCAAGCAGCAAAACAGCACUGAGUAUUCUGACUGGGGCUGGUGGGAGGAAGAGGAAUAUGUAGAAGCUAAUAUAUAAGGUCCCCUUUAUAAGGUAUAUAAGGUCCCCGUCGGGCAGGACCAGCCCUAUACAUUUUGCUGCCUAAGGUGAAGGACAGAUUGGGGAGGGGGUCCUCCUCCCUAUUCCUCCUACAAAAGCCCCCUUUACAGAACUGGUUUUCAAGUCCCGAUUUCAUCUUCUAUGCAUACCAAAGAAAGAACAUGACUCUUGCAUGAGUCUUACCACAAAUGUGUGUGUGUGUGUGUGUGAUCUGAGUGGGAGAGAAGUUUUGCAUUGUGCUACCUGCACUGUGCAGUCGUCCCCCUUCCCCUUCCCUGUUGGUCUUGCUGUGCUCUGCUUGCAGCUCUGAGACUCUCCAGAUUGCUCAGUACACAUACAUUUUCGGGUUAUUGAUUAGCUGAUGCAUGCCACCUUGGGUAUCCAACUAGACUGCUCCACAAAGAGUUUUAACCGGGCAAUGGAACAUCCCCACCUUCUCCUCCCCCUGCACAUCCCUGCUCUGGAGAGUUGGGGAAAUCCCUAGAGCAGAUAUAGGAAUAGCACAGGGGGCAUUGGGGGGGGAUGAGAGUGGAGAAGUUCCUUGUACAGCUGAAUCUCAUUGCACUAUGGAAACUGUUUAGUUGGAUACCACCCAGUAUCUAUCUAAAAGGUAAAGGUAAAGGUAAAGGGACCCCUGACCAUUAGGUCCAGCCACGGACAACUCUGGGGUUGCGGUGCUCAUCUCGCUUUAUUGGCCGAGGGAUCCAGCGUACAGCUUCCGGGUCAUGUGGCCAGCUUGACUAAGCUGCUUCUGGCGAACCAGAGCAGCACACGGAAACGCCGUUUACCUUCCUGCCGGAGCGGUACCUAUUGAUCUACUUGCGCUUUGACGUGCUUUCAAACUGCUAGGUUGGCAGGAGCAGGGACUGAGCAACAGGAGCUCACCCCGUCACAGGGAUUCAAACUGCCAACCUUCUGAUCGGCAACCCCUAGGCUCUAUCAUCUAUCUAUCUAUCUAUCUAUCUAUCUAUCAUCUAUCAUCUAUCUGUCUAUCUAUCUAUCUAUCAUCUAUCUCUAUCUAUCAUCUAUCUAUCUAUCUAUCUAUCUAUCAUCUAUCUAUCUAUCUAUCUAUCGAUCGAUCGAUCGAUCGAUCUAUCAUCUACUGUACUUUUCCGUGUAUAAGAUGAGGGGUUUUUCUUUUACUAUAAAAUAAAGUUUAAAAACUGGGGGCGUCUUAUACACAGACAGUGGGUAGGGGUGAAGGGUGAUUGAUUGCAGCCGCGAGCUGCAGAUUGUCAUUGGCGAUUUUGUGUGUGACUGGUGGCUGCAGCAAGGGUUGCUUUGUAUUGGCUGAUGCUGCGUUAAAUGGGUCUUUGAUUGGUUGCUGUGUCAAGGGCUGAUGUGGAUUGGUUGGCGCUGUGGCAAUUGUACUUGCUAUUUCCUGCCGCCGUUUGUGAUCGGGCAGACGCUUGUUGCAGACUCGAGCGAUUGUCAGUGAGCUGUGCGAGCAAUUGCAACCGUCGGGUUAGUGAUUUACUGCAUCCCCCCCCCCAAAAAAAACCACCUCAACAACCUCUGGCAAAAAAAAAAAAGCUCCACAACUCUGGGUCAUUUUCUUAAAUUGUAGUUCCCCAAAAUAGGGGGCAUCUUAUACAUGGGGGGCGUGUUAUUCACAGAAAAGUACGGUAUUUAUCUAUCUAUUCACACAGGUUACUUCCAGAGGUGGACGAUUCAGCAGCACCCAGUCAUUGCACUUCUGCUUCAAGGUGGAAGUGCAAUUGCUGCUCAGCUUCCAGGCUUCUAUUUGGCCUCUGACUUGCAACCAGGUG